rnacentral:rRNA from 1 species
GACGAACGCUGGCGGCGUGCUUAACACAUGCAAGUCGAACGGAAAGGCCCUGCUUUUGUGGGGUGCUCGAGUGGCGAACGGGUGAGUAACACGUGAGUAACCUGCCCUUGACUUUGGGAUAACUUCAGGAAACUGGGGCUAAUACCGGAUAGGAGCUCCUGCUGCAUGGUGGGGGUUGGAAAGUUUCGGCGGUUGGGGAUGGACUCGCGGCUUAUGAGCUUGUUGGUGGGGUAGUGGCUUACCAAGGCUUUGACGGGUAGCCGGCCUGAGAGGGUGACCGGCCACAUUGGGACUGAGAUACGGCCCAGACUCAUACGGGAGGCAGGAGUGGGGAAUAUUGCACAAUGGGCGGAAGCCUGAUGCAGCAACGCCGCGUGCGGGAUGACGGCCUUCGGGUUGUAAACCGCUUUCGCCUGUGACGAAGCGUGAGUGACGGUAAUGGGUAAAGAAGCACCGGCGAACUACGU